ACCCGCACAAGCGGUGGAUGAUGUGGAUUAAUUCGAUGCAACGCGAAGAACCUUACCUACCCUUGACAUGUCCGGAAUCCCGAAGAGAUUUGGGAGUGCUCGCAAGAGAACCGGAACACUGGUGCUGCAUGGCUGUCGUCAGCUCGUGUCGUGAGAUGUUGGGUUAAGUCCCGCAACGAGCGCAACCCUUGUCAUUAGUUGCCAUCAUUUGGUUGGGCACUCUAAUGAGACUGCCGGUGACAAACCGGAGGAAGGUGGGGAUGACGUCAAGUCCUCAUGGCCCUUAUGGGUAGGGCUUCACACGUCAUACAAUGGUCGGUACAGAGGGUUGCCAACCCGCGAGGGGGAGCUAAUCCCACAAAGCCGAUCGUAGUCCGGAUCGCAGUCUGCAACUCGACUGCGUGAAGUCGGAAUCGCUAGUAAUCGUGGAUCAGCAUGUCACGGUGAAUACGUUCCCGGGCCUU
rnacentral:rRNA from 1 species